ACAUCGCCUCCUGCAACUGGAUUGAGUAUAGGAGGUCCAGCCUGCCCAGUGACUACGGGUUCAACGGCCGCGGUAUUUUGACCGUGCAAAGGUAGCGCAAUCACUUGUCUCUUAAAUAGAGACCUGUAUGAAUGGCUAGACGAGGGCUUAACUGUCUCCCCCCUCCAGUCAGUGAAAUUGAUCUAUCCGUGCAGAAGCGGGUUUAACUAUACAAGACGAGAAGACCCUUUGGAGCUUAAGGUACAAAGUUCAACCACGUUAAACGACUACACAAAAAGCAAGAACUUAGUGGCGAGUGAAAUUUUACCUUCGGUUGGGGCGACCACGGAGGAGAAAAAAGCCUCCGAGUGGACUGGGCCAAAUCCCAAAGCCAAUAGAUACAUCUAUAAGCCGCAGAACAUCUGACCAAUAAUGAUCCGGCCGAAAAGCCGAUCAACGAACCAAGUUACCCUAGGGAUAACAGCGCAAUCCUCUCCCAGAGUCCAUAUCGACGAGGGGGUUUACGACCUCGAUGUUGGAUCAGGACAUCCUAAUGGUGCAGCCGCUAUUAAGGGUUCGUUUGUUCAACGAUUAAAGUCCUACGUGAUCU
rnacentral:rRNA from 1 species